rnacentral:rRNA from 1 species
UACAGAGGGUGCGAGCGUUGUCCGGAAUCACUGGGCGUAAAGCGUGCGCAGGCGGCUUCGCAAGUCAGGCGUGAAAUCCCCGGGCUUAACCUGGGAAUGGCGUCUGAAACUACGGAGCUGGAGUGUGGCAGAGGGAGGUAGAAUUCCACGUGUAGGCGGGUGAAAUGCGUAGAUAUGUGGAGGAAUACCGAUGGCGAAGGCAGGCCUCCCUGGGGCCAAACACU